rnacentral:rRNA from 2 species
GUCGAACGAACUCUGGUAUUGAUUGGUGCUUGCAUCAUGAUUUACAUUUGAGUGAGUGGCGAACUGGUGAGUAACACGUGGGAAACCUGCCCAGAAGCGGGGGAUAACACCUGGAAACAGAUGCUAAUACCGCAUAACAACUUGGACCGCAUGGUCCGAGUUUGAAAGAUGGCUUCGGCUAUCACUUUUGGAUGGUCCCGCGGCGUAUUAGCUAGAUGGUGAGGUAACGGCUCACCAUGGCAAUGAUACGUAGCCGACCUGAGAGGGUAAUCGGCCACAUUGGGACUGAGACACGGCCCAAACUCCUACGGGAGGCAGCAGUAGGGAAUCUUCCACAAUGGACGAAAGUCUGAUGGAGCAACGCCGCGUGAGUGAAGAAGGGUUUCGGCUCGUAAAACUCUGUUGUUAAAGAAGAACAUAUCUGAGAGUAACUGUUCAGGUAUUGACGGUAUUUAACCAGAAAGCCACGGCUAACUACGUGCCAGCAGCCGCGGUAAUACGUAGGUGGCAAGCGUUGUCCGGAUUUAUUGGGCGUAAAGCGAGCGCAGGCGGUUUUUUAAGUCUGAUGUGAAAGCCUUCGGCUCAACCGAAGAAGUGCAUCGGAAACUGGGAAACUUGAGUGCAGAAGAGGACAGUGGAACUCCAUGUGUAGCGGUGAAAUGCGUAGAUAUAUGGAAGAACACCAGUGGCGAAGGCGGCUGUCUGGUCUGUAACUGACGCUGAGGCUCGAAAGUAUGGGUAGCAAACAGGAUUAGAUACCCUGGUAGUCCAUACCGUAAACG